rnacentral:rRNA from 1 species
CAGCCGCCGCGGUAAUACGUAGGGUGCGAGCGUUAAUCGGAUUUACUGGGCGUAAAGCGUGCGCAGGCGGCCCGUUAAGACAGGUGUGAAAUCCCUGGGCUCAACCUAGGAAUUGCGCUUGUGACUGGCGGGCUCGAGUACGGUAGAGGGGGGUGGAAUUCCUGGUGUAGCAGUGAAAUGCGUAGAGAUCAGGAGGAACACCGAUGGCGAAGGCAGCCCCCUGGGCCUGUACUGACGCUCAUGCACGAAAGCGUGGGGAGCAAACAGGAUUAGAUACCCUGGUAGUCCACGCCCUAAACGAUGGGUACUAGCCGUUUGGUGCGCGAUAGCGCUGAGUGGCGAAGCUAACGCGUGAAGUACCCCGCCUGGGGAGUACGGCCGCAAGGUUGAAACUUAAAGGAAAUGGCGGG